UACAGAGGUCCCAAGCGUUGUUCGGAUUCACUGGGCGUAAAGGGUGCGUAGGUGGUUAGGUAAGUCCGAUGUGAAAUCUCCAGGCUCAACCUGGAAAUGGCAUUGGAUACUAUUUAGCUUGAGGAGUGGAGGGGGGACUGGAAUUCUCGGUGUAGCAGUGAAAUGCGUAGAUAUCAGGAGGAACACCGGUGGUGUAGACGGCUAUCUGGACCGUAACUGACGCUGAGGCACGAAAGCGUGGGUAGCAAACAGG
rnacentral:rRNA from 1 species